rnacentral:lncRNA from 1 species
CUCACGGCAAGCUCCGCCUCCCGGGUUCACGUCAUUCUUCUGCCUCAGUUUCCCGAGUAGCUGGGACUACAGGCGCCCGCCACCACGCCCAGUUAAUUGUAUUUUUAGUAGAGAUGGGGUUUCACCGUGUUAGCCAGGAUGGUCUCUGUCUCCUGACCUCGUGAUCCUCCCGCCUCAGCCUCCCAAAGUGCUGGGAUUACAGGCGUGAGCCGAUGCGCCCGGCCUCUUUUUAAUUUUUUAAACUUGCAGAAGAGUUGCAAGAAUAGUGCUCUUUAGUGGGCCUUCACUCGGAAUCACCAACUGCUGGCGUGUGGGUGCACUGGCUUUAUAACAACCCAGUAACAGUGUCUCAUGGCAACAUGAUAGAAUCUUGAAGGUGAAUGGAAAGGAUUAUGAUGUACGGAAAAUCCAAGUUGGAGUGGUGCCUGAUACAGGUGAAAAUCAGUUCGCAGCUACUGGAAGAGAGAGGAGCAUAUCAAUUGUUUAAAACAAAAAGCCAGCGUUAACAGGCUCAGAGAAAUGAAGUUGAAAGGAAUAGAUGUAGCUCCUGAAUAGAAGCAAAAGUCCAACGUGGUUCCAUUAAAAUGACUUCUCAGCCGUCUCUCCCUGCAGAUGACUUCGAUAUCUACCACGUCCUGACUGUCUCCAAUGUUUUUUUCAACAAGACGCACUGACCUGGAACAACGAAAUUCACUGCUCCUUUUGUGAAACCAAGCAAGAAACUGCUGUGAGGGCCAGUAUUUCCAAAGCACCAAAAAUAAUUAUUUUCCACCUAAAAAGGUUUGACAUUCAGGGUACAACAAAAAGGAAGCUGAGAACGGAUAUUCAUUACCCACUCACUAACUUGGACCUCACUCCUUAUAUUUGCUCAAUUUUCCGGAAAUAUCCUAAAUACAACCUCUGUGCAGUGGUGAUGAUAGUCAAUGGGCACAACAUAUAAGUAGUUACAAUGAAAUGAGAAGCAAUAUAGCAGUCAGGCUAUAUGCAUGAUUUAACAACAAAAUUAUCACUUCCUUUUAAUUUAGAAUAAGGGACAAUUUAAAAAGCAUCUCUUGGCCCUAUCAUUUCUGUUCCAGUAGUUAGUGUUCAUAUGUGAAUACUAAGUUUGACAUUCCUUUCUCCCAUAGAACCAUUUUGGUGAUUUGGAUGGUGGCCACUACACUGCUUUCUGCAAGAAUUCAGUCACCCAGGCCUGAUAUAGCUUUGAUAACACACGAGUCAGUGAGAUUCCAGAUACUUCUGUUCAAAAUGCUAUGGAUCUCCUGUUCUAUAGCUGCCAGCCCUUUUCCAUACCAAUACAAAAGCGUUAAGAGCCAGGAAAAUGGUGUUUCCUGAACACUGCAAAACAAGCAGUCAGCAUCUGGUGGUAGAGUUUUGCUUGGUCAUUAAACUCUUAGAACUUACUUGCAUCAUUAACAUUUUUAUGCCUUGUGGGCAUGUUAUACAACCUUUCAUCUUAAGAUAAAUCUGUCGUCCAGAAGAUGGGUCUUGGUUCACUAAAAAAGGCAGUGUGAAUAUAAUGCAAUGCUAAUGGAUGCAGGCCUUCAAAACACUGCAAUUAUAUAGUGAGUUCAGGUUUCAAAAUUCAGUGUUUAUCAGAAAAUAUCUCAUAAUCAUAUAUAUUCAACAAAUUAUUUUCCAAAGAUACUCAUGAAGCUAAACAAAAAUAAUUUUUGUUCAAAUGGCUCGAUGAGUUUAAGAAUAUGAUUUGAAUAUAUUUGAUAUAAUAAUUUAGCCAAGAAGUGGUCUCUUAGACUAAUUGUAAAACAUGAAAAGUUGUCAGCUUCACAAUUUGAACCCCAUCCUUUCAUCUUCUCCCUGAGAGCCUGCUAAUGGUGGUCUCUUUCUGAAGCACUUUUAGAAUCUUAUUUUUAUAUGGAGUGUUUUACUGACUAUAUAUAUAGCAACUGAGUCCCUCGGUUAAAUAAAUUAUAAGCUCCUUUAACCCUCUUAAUACAUCACUCUGUAAAGAUGUAGUUUAUAAUGCAGUUCACUUUGCAAUCAUGCCUGACUCCCGGCAUUUUUACUUUAAUAUUUAGAAUGAAUAUUCUCAAUAUGUGAGAAUACUAGUCUUGAAAGAAUGACUCUGGGUGUUAUUAUAUAGCACGUGUGUAUAUAAAAUCUAUGGUUUUACUGUCCUAUAUUUGAUAAUACAAUAUUAAAGACAGAACACCCACAGGGUUAUAAAUUAUUUUUCUCAUUAAGAUUUUAAUGUAGCUGUAAAUGAAAUUCUCGUUUUAAAAAAAUUAAAGUUUCCAUUUUUUUUUUUAGAAUAAAGAUUUAGUGCACAAAUACAGCCCAAAGCCAACAGAAAAAUUGCUUUGCCCUGUCAUUUCCCUAAGAAAGCACUGAAGUUAACUCAAAAUAGGCUGAAAGAAAAAAAGCAAUCCUCUGAGUUCUAGGUUUCACAAAAGGACCACGUGUUAAACUAUGUACAUCGAUUUGAUGUGCAAGUAUGCAAUAAAUAUGUACACAUACAUUCCUAUCUGCUUUACAUCAUUCUAGAGUAUUCAUAGUAUAUCAAGAUGGGAUUUAGAAAUGUGAAAAGGCCAUAACAGUGAAAAGGAAAAAAAAAAGAUAACAAUAGUUUUUAGACCAGUCGAAUAAUAAUGCUUAGCUAGUUAAUUAUUUUAACUUUGGAGCAGACUAAAAAAGUUGUUUUGAAAUAAAUGGUACCUGUAAGUGAUGAUUACUGCAAUACUUGUUAAAUGUUAUUUGUCAGCACUGACCGGAAUUAUAUAGUGCUAGUAACACAGCUCCCACUGUCCUAGAAUUCCUCUAAAUGGCCAGCUAUAGCUACCAUUAUCCUGAUAAGCAUUUCAAGAGUUGUGUUGCUGAGCCUUUUAAAAGAUAACUAGUUUAUAACCUAUGUCUCCUUAUGUGGCUACAUCAGUUACUCGUGGUCCCAAUGAAGUAUAAAAGAGGAUAUAAGCUGCUGAAGAUUUCACAGAAGAAACGGAGAUAUCAGAAACUUCAUGAUCAUCAAACUUAAACCACCGUUGUCUUGCUGCAUUUUUACAAUAGGCUGUGUAGUGGCCUCCAUCCAGCCCACCGUAGUGAUUCUGUGCCAAACAAGAUAGAAAAAAAAAUCAAUUCAGUUAAAAUUGUUAUUUAAAAUACGCCAAUAGUUUCAAAGCUUUAUGUUGUUCUUACUCUUCCAUGAGGUAGGAAACCACUUAAAACUUUUUUUAAACUUGCUUUGAAACAAAAAGUCUUCAGUUCAAAGAGAUACUUACUGAAACAGAAAACAAAUUAUAUUUCUUCAAAUUGUUCUUUGGACCAAUAACAUACUGUGACAAGUCAAGAUUUUCUAACGGGAAGUCCACAGAUGUCUGUAAUUUUUGUUUCCACCUGCCAUCGUAGGAAAAACUGCAGAACAAAACAUUACAAUUACACUGACAGAGGAAGAUACCAGGAUGAAUCCUCAUUCAUUAACAUCUAGAUUUUUAGCCAGGACUGUAAAAUCCAUUUCAAAUACAAAGACUUGGAAUUUUAGUAGUAGAGGAACCUGUUAAAGACAUUUGGCUUCAUUUCCAUUUUACAAACAAGAAAACUGAGGCAUAUGGAUAUUUAAUGAUGUGCCUAAGGUCAAACAGCCAGAAUGGUAGAGGUAGGACUAUACUCUGGUCCAGCUACAACUGCUACAUGAGUCUUCUAGGAAGGUAAGACCCACAUGUUUAUAAUGCUGACCACCACAAAAGAAAGAAUGACAGCUGCUCUCGAGUCAAGCUUGUACUUCAGAGAAAACUAGAGCCAGAAAUUGAGAGUAGGAGACUACUGACUAAAAUAAUGUCAUUCAUUCCAUUAUUCUGGCAUAUUCUGCUCCUUUAAACAUCAAAACAAUGAUAUCUUGGUUGGUGUAAUAUGGUUAUUUCAUAAUUUUGAAAAUAUUCAGCAUUAAAAAUUUUAGCAAAUGUGUAAUCACUUAUAGAAUGUUUAUACUUCCAGAAUCCUCAACUAGGACAAUGGAAAAAACUAGCUUUUGUUAGAAAAAUUUACACAAGAGAAAUCUGAACAUGUAAAUUUGGAAAUUAAUAUAUGGAACUAAGAAUCUCAAUACAAGAUAAAACAUUUUUAACAGAAAUGCUUUUUUGACACAAAAAUUACAGCUCUCAAUAAAAAAGUGCAACUUCCUUUAAAAAGUUUUUCAAAUAAUCAACUCAAAGUUCUUGAGUUACAUGGAUUAUGUGAUUAUGUGAAGACCAAAGAAUCAGCAAAAGAUCUGGUUCGUGUUUUAUAACUCUUGUCAUUAUUCCUUCUAUUAUAGGACUAGAUCUUUUCCAUCAAUUGGAAAAAUCUGGAUGAAAUUAUUUCUGCACUUAAUGGUAUCGUUAACAUAUUUUAUCAUUAAAAUACUUUAAAAAUUAUAAAUUUUAUUUAACACAUAACUAAGUCUGUUAUGCUUUAGUCUGCUGUUUGAAUGUUACAUUUCAUGUGCUAAUUUGUUUGAAUUAUACUGUAAUAUUUUUAUACAUUUUCACUUGAUGCUUUGUAAUUAUUUAAAAUUAUAAGGAAUUACAUGAAAUAGUGGUAUUGUCAUUUUGCUGUGGUACUGAAAACACUGAGGUGAACUAACAGUCUCAUUUCUGCUUUAUUUCCCUAGAUCUACUGUAACCAGAUAAUCGCCCUUUGUUAUGUGCCCAUGGCAGGCAGUACAACAAGUAUAAAUUACACAGAACUUAAAAUUCCCUCAUUUAAUUUCACUGAACAGGAGGACAAACUUUCCCCUUUACCGUUUCAGAUGCACUAAAAGCACAGGUGGUAACUUCCAGAUUUCUAUCUUUUUUAGAGAAUCCCGUCGAGCUCUGCAAUGACUGCAGUAAAAUCUGUUGUUAUCUGUGAGUUUUUCUUCUUUGGAAAAUAAUCUAAGGCAAUCCUGGCAGAAAAAAACAAGUAGCAGAUACUCGUUAAUUCGAUUCUUCAAUAAUGUCAGAGAGCACCUAUUUAGUUAGUCACUCUGCAGGCACCAGUGAUUCAACAGCAAUCUACACAAAAGAGUUCCUGCCUUCCCAAAGCUUGUGAUCUAGUGAGAAGCAUAGACAAGUGAACAAUGACAGCACAGAGUGUGGGCUUUCAUGAUUAUACCAAAUUCUUCUGCCACUUCACCUUUAUGCCCCAACAAAUUUGACCUGUGCAAAUAAAAGUUGUUACAAAAGACAAUAAAGGAAAUUUAAAAGUUAA